UACGUAGGGCGCAAGCGUUAUCCGGAAUUAUUGGGCGUAAAGAGCUCGUAGGCGGUUUGUCGCGUCUGCCGUGAAAGUCCGGGGCUCAACUCCGGAUCUGCGGUGGGUACGGGCAGACUAGAGUGAUGUAGGGGAGACUGGAAUUCCUGGUGUAGCGGUGAAAUGCGCAGAUAUCAGGAGGAACACCGAUGGCGAAGGCAGGUCUCUGGGCAUUAACUGACGCUGAGGAGCGAAAGCGUGGGUAGCAAACGGG
rnacentral:rRNA from 1 species